AGCGGGGGACCGCAAGGCCUCGCGCGAUGAGAGCGGCCGAUGUCAGAUUAGCUAGUUGGUGAGGUAAAGGCUCACCAAGGCGACGAUCUGUAGCGGGUCUGAGAGGAUGAUCCGCCACACUGGGACUGAGACACGGCCCAGACUCCUACGGGAGGCAGCAGUGGGGAAUUUUGGACAAUGGGGGAAACCCUGAUCCAGCCAUGCCGCGUGAGUGAAGAAGGCCUUCGGGUUGUAAAGCUCUUUCGGCCGGGAAAAAAUUGCACGGAUGAACAGUCUGUGUAGAUGAUGGUACCGGACUAAGAAGCACCGGCUAACUACGUGCCAGCAGCCGCGGUAAUACGUAGGGUGCGAGCGUUAAUCGGAAUUACUGGGCGUAAAGCGUGCGCAGGCGGUUUUGUAAGACAGGCGUGAAAUCCCCGGGCUCAACCUGGGAACUGCGCUUGUGACUGCAAGACUCGAGUACGGCAGAGGGGGGUGGAAUUCCACGUGUAGCAGUGAAAUGCGUAGAGAUGUGGAGGAACACCAAUGGCGAAGGCAGCCCCCUGGGUCGAUACUGACGCUCAUGCACGAAAGCGUGGGGAGCAAACAGGAUUAGAUAAAUC
rnacentral:rRNA from 1 species